AUGCCACAGAGGGUGAUAGCCCCGUACGGUGUUGACUCGAUACAGAGUCCUAACAUGGAGUCGAGUUGUUUGGGAAUGCAGCUCAAAUGGGUGGUAUGCUCCAUCUAAGGCUAAAUAUUUGCGAGAGACCGAUAGCGAACAAGUACUGUGAAGGAAAGAUGAAAAGAACUUUGAAAAGAGAGUGAAAUAGUACGUGAAAUUGUUGAAAUGGAAGGGUAGGCCGCUAACCAUGUAGG
rnacentral:rRNA from 1 species